GGGAUGGUAUCACAGCAUAAUCCUCUUGAUGAGUAUUAUUUUGGAAAUCAUUAGAGGUGUUUUUAUAUGACUAUGUAAUACUGUCUUCCUUGUCAAUCAAUCUUAAGAAUCCAGUGGAGACAAAAUUGUCAAAUGUUUAUAUCAUACUCAUUCAUCUUGAUGGCAGUCACAUGUGGGAGUUCGACUUAUAUUCUUUGGAAUUAGUGUAAUAUUAAUAAUUUUACAACAAAGCGUACAUAUAUUUUGCUUGUAAAUGUUCACAAGUAUUAGGUAACCUGAAUAGAUUCCAUGCUUUACAGCUUCCUGAGAGUCUGCUGUGGAGGCUUUAACUAUGUUCUACUUGUGAGAAGGGUGGGCAAAUAAUGGGUGAAAUGGGUUUGAUAAAAGUAGCCAGUGAUGUUCAAUAUUAUAGACUCUGCAGCUAGGAGGGAUACAAUGUGGACUUUACUCAGUCCAAAUGAGUGUUAAAGGAAUUGCCCAACUUCUAAAAAAAAUCAGCUGCAUCAUGGGUACUGAGGCUCUUCUCAUAACUUGACAACUAUAAAUGAUUUCUAGAGGUCUUAUCUUGGUUUCAGCAUCCUGGUCACAGUCUGGCACCUUCUCGGCAGAGCUGAAGUUGCCUGUAUCUGCUUCAGAGGGAAGGAAUUAUGGGACAUUAAGUUCCAUUGUCUGCCUUCAAGC
rnacentral:lncRNA from 1 species